rnacentral:lncRNA from 1 species
CUGUUGCUCCUAGAUUGAUUUUGAUGAUUACAAAGCAGAUUGAAGGGAUACAAAUAAUUUUAAAUUGAAAAAGUCCUUAUGCUCUUCAAGGGCAAAAUUAUAAUUUCACUAAAAUUCUGAUUUGAUAGUAUCAUUUGAUAGAACAAAUGAUUUGUAAACUAUUGGUGAAAAUUUUAUUGUAUUUGGACUUAUAUUUUUGAUGUUAUGA